rnacentral:rRNA from 1 species
AUUGAACGCUGGCGGCAUGCCUUACACAUGCAAGUCGAACGGUAACAGGUCUUCGGAUGCUGACGAGUGGCGAACGGGAGAGUAAUACAUCGGAACGUGCCUAGUCGUGGGGGAUAACUACUCGAAGGAGUGGCUAAUCCCGCCUGAGAUCUACGGAUGAAAGAAGGGGAUCGCAAGACCCUGUGCUACUUGAACGGCCGAUGGCAGAUUAGGUAGUUGGUGGGAUAAAAGCUUACCAAGCCGACGAUCUGUAGCUGGUCUGAGAGGACGAUCAGUCACACUGGGACUGAGACACGGCCCAGACUCCUACGGGAGGCAGCAGUGGGGAAUUUUGGACAAUGGGCGCAAGCCUGAUCCAGCAAUGCCGCGUGCAGGAUGAAGGCCUUCGGGUUGUAAACUGCUUUUGUACGGAACGAAAAGCCCUGGGUUAAUACCCUGGGGUCAUGACGGUACCGUAAGAAUAAGCACCGGCUAACUACGUGCCAGCAGCCGCCGUAACAC